rnacentral:rRNA from 1 species
UACAGAGGGGGCAAGCGUUAUUCGGAAUUAUUGGGCGUAAAGGGCGCGUAGGCGGCUUGGCAAGUGGAUGGUGAAAUCCCUCGGCUUAACCGAGGAACUGCCGUCCAAACUGCUUCGCUUGAGACCGGGAGAGGUGAGUGGAAUUCCCAGUGUAGCGGUGAAAUGCGUAGAUAUUGGGAGGAACACCAGUGGCGAAGGCGGCUCACUGGACCGGUACUGACACUGAGGUGCGAAAGCGUGGGGAGCAAACAGG